rnacentral:snRNA from 1 species
GUACUUGUUUGGCAGCACUUUUACUAAAAUUGGGAAUACACAGAGAAGAUUAGCAUAGCCCCUGCACAGCGAUGACACAGAAAUGCUGCAAGCAACCCACAGCUUU